rnacentral:rRNA from 1 species
CUCGUCACACUAUCAUUAACUGAAUCCAUAGGUUAAUGAGGCGAACCGGGGGAACUGAAACAUCUAAGUACCCCGAGGAAAAGAAAUCAACCGAGAUUCCCCCAGUAGCGGCGAGCGAACGGGGAGGAGCCCAGAGCCUGAAUCAGCAUGUGUGUUAGUGGAAGCGUCUGGAAAGGCGCGCGAUACAGGGUGACAGCCCCGUACACAAAAGCGCAUGUGCUGUGAGCUCGAUGAGUAGGGCGGGACACGUGGUAUCCUGUCUGAAUAUGGGGGGACCAUCCUCCAAGGCUAAAUACUCCUGACUGACCGAUAGUGAACCAGUACCGUGAGGGAAAGGCGAAAAGAACCCCGGCGAGGGGAGUGAAAAAGAACCUGAAACCGUGUACGUACAAGCAGUGGGAGCACCCUUUGGGUGUGACUGCGUACCUUUUGUAUAAUGGGUCAGCGACUUAUAUUCUGUAGCAAGGUUAACCGAAUAGGGGAGCCGGAGGGAAACCGAGUCUUAAUUGGGCGUUAAGUUGCAGGGUAUAGACCCGAAACCCGGUGAUCUAGCCAUGGGCAGGUUGAAGGUUGGGUAACACUAACUGGAGGACCGAACCGACUAAUGUUGAAAAAUUAGCGGAUGACCUGUGGCUGGGGGUGAAAGGCCAAUCAAACCGGGAGAUAGCUGGUUCUCCCCGAAAGCUAUUUAGGUAGCGCCUCGUGAAUUCAUCUCCGGGGGUAGAGCACUGUUUCGGCUAGGGGGCCAUCCCGGCUUACCAACCCGAUGCAAACUGCGAAUACCGGAGAAUGUUAUCACGGGAGACACACGGCGGGUGCUAACGUCCGUCGUGAAGAGGGAAACAACCCAGACCGCCAGCUAAGGUCCCAAAGUCAUGGUUAAGUGGGAAACGAUGUGGGAAGGCCCAGACAGCCAGGAUGUUGGCUUAGAAGCAGCCAUCAUUUAAAGAAAGCGUAAUAGCUCACUGGUCGAGUCGGCCUGCGCGGAAGAUGUAACGGGGCUAAACCAUGCACCGAAGCUGCGGCAGCGACACUGUGUGUUGUUGGGUAGGGGAGCGUUCUGUAAGCCUGUGAAGGUGUGUCGUGAGGCAUGCUGGAGGUAUCAGAAGUGCGAAUGCUGACAUAAGUAACGAUAAAGCGGGUGAAAAGCCCGCUCGCCGGAAGACCAAGGGUUCCUGUCCAACGUUAAUCGGGGCAGGGUGAGUCGACCCCUAAGGCGAGGCCGAAAGGCGUAGUCGAUGGGAAACGGGUUAAUAUUCCCGUACUUGGUGUUACUGCGAAGGGGGGACGGAGAAGGCUAUGUUGGCCGGGCGACGGUUGUCCCGGUUUAAGCGUGUAGGUGUGUGUUCCAGGUAAAUCCGGUUCACUUUAACACUGAGGCGUGACGACGAGGCACUACGGUGCUGAAGCAACAAAUGCCCUGCUUCCAGGAAAAGCCUCUAAGCAUCAGGUAACAUCAAAUCGUACCCCAAACCGACACAGGUGGUCAGGUAGAGAAUACCAAGGCGCUUGAGAGAACUCGGGUGAAGGAACUAGGCAAAAUGGUGCCGUAACUUCGGGAGAAGGCACGCUGACACGUAGGUGAAGUGAUUUACUCAUGGAGCUGAAGUCAGUCGAAGAUACCAGCUGGCUGCAACUGUUUAUUAAAAACACAGCACUGUGCAAACACGAAAGUGGACGUAUACGGUGUGACGCCUGCCCGGUGCCGGAAGGUUAAUUGAUGGGGUCAGCGCAAGCGAAGCUCCUGAUCGAAGCCCCGGUAAACGGCGGCCGUAACUAUAACGGUCCUAAGGUAGCGAAAUUCCUUGUCGGGUAAGUUCCGACCUGCACGAAUGGCGUAAUGAUGGCCAGGCUGUCUCCACCCGAGACUCAGUGAAAUUGAACUCGCUGUGAAGAUGCAGUGUACCCGCGGCAAGACGGAAAGACCCCGUGAACCUUUACUAUAGCUUGACACUGAACAUUGAGCCUUGAUGUGUAGGAUAGGUGGGAGGCUUUGAAGUGUGGACGCCAGUCUGCAUGGAGCCGACCUUGAAAUACCACCCUUUAAUGUUUGAUGUUCUAACGUGGACCCGUUACCCGGGUUGCGGACAGUGUCUGGUGGGUAGUUUGACUGGGGCGGUCUCCUCCUAAAGAGUAACGGAGGAGCACGAAGGUUGGCUAAUCCUGGUCGGACAUCAGGAGGUUAGUGCAAUGGCAUAAGCCAGCUUGACUGCGAGCGUGACGGCGCGAGCAGGUGCGAAAGCAGGUCAUAGUGAUCCGGUGGUUCUGAAUGGAAGGGCCAUCGCUCAACGGAUAAAAGGUACUCCGGGGAUAACAGGCUGAUACCGCCCAAGAGUUCAUAUCGACGGCGGUGUUUGGCACCUCGAUGUCGGCUCAUCACAUCCUGGGGCUGAAGUAGGUCCCAAGGGUAUGGCUGUUCGCCAUUUAAAGUGGUACGCGAGCUGGGUUUAGAACGUCGUGAGACAGUUCGGUCCCUAUCUGCCGUGGGCGCUGGAGAACUGAGGGGGGCUGCUCCUAGUACGAGAGGACCGGAGUGGACGCAUCACUGGUGUUCGGGUUGUCAUGCCAAUGGCACUGCCCGGUAGCUAAAUGCGGAAGAGAUAAGUGCUGAAAGCAUCUAAGCACGAAACUUGCCCCGA